CUACGGGAGGCAGCAGUGGGGAAUUUUGGACAAUGGGCGAAAGCCUGAUCCAGCCAUGCCGCGUGCGGGAAGAAGGCCUUCGGGUUGUAAACCGCUUUAGUCCGGGAAAAAGGGGUGCGAGGAUAAUACCCUUGUGCUUUGAUGGUACUGGAAGAAUAAGCACCGGCUAACUACGUGCCAGCAGCCGCGGUAAUACGUAGGGUGCGAGCGUUAAUCGGAAUUACUGGGCGUAAAGCGUGCGCAGGCGGUCUUGUAAGACAGUCGUGAAAGCCCCGGGCUUAACCUGGGAACUGCGAUUGUGACUGCAAGGCUAGAGUGUGUCAGAGGGGGGUGGAAUUCCACGUGUAGCAGUGAAAUGCGUAGAGAUGUGGAGGAACACCGAUGGCGAAGGCAGCCCCCUGGGAUAACACUGACGCUCAUGCACGAAAGCGUGGGGAGCAAACAGGAUUAGAUACCCGGGUAGUCC
rnacentral:rRNA from 1 species